GAUGAACGCUGGCGGCGUGCCUAAUACAUGCAAGUCGAGCGAACAGAUGAGGAGCUUGCUCCUCUGACGUUAGCGGCGGACGGGUGAGUAACACGUGGAUAACCUACCUAUAAGACUGGGAUAACUUCGGGAAACCGGAGCUAAUACCGGAUAAUAUAUUGAACCGCAUGGUUCAAUAGUGAAAGACGGUUUUGCUGUCACUUAUAGAUGGAUCCGCGCCGCAUUAGCUAGUUGGUAAGGUAACGGCUUACCAAGGCAACGAUGCGUAGCCGACCUGAGAGGGUGAUCAGCCACACGGGAACUGAGACACGGUCCAGACUCCUACGGGAGGCAGCAUUAGGGAAUCUUCCGCAAUGGGCGAAAGCCUGACGGAGCAACGCCGCGUGAGUGAUGAAGGUCUUCGGAUCGUAAAACUCUGUUAUUAGGGAAGAACAAAUGUGUAAGUAACUAUGCACGUCUUGACGGUACCUAAUCAGAAAGCCACGGCUAACUACGUG
rnacentral:rRNA from 1 species